rnacentral:rRNA from 1 species
GACGAACGCUGGCGGCGUGCUUAACACAUGCAAGUCGAACGCUGAAGCUCAGCUUUUGUUGGGUGGAUGAGUGGCGAACGGGUGAGUAACACGUGAGUAACCUGCCCCCUUCUUUGGGAUAACGCCCGGAAACGGGUGCUAAUACUGGAUAUUCACUGGUCUUCGCCUGGGGGCUGGUGGAAAGGGUUUUUCUGGUGGGGGAUGGGCUCGCGGCCUAUCAGCUUGUUGGUGGGGUGAUGGCCUACCAAGGCUUUGACGGGUAGCCGGCCUGAGAGGGUGACCGGUCACAUUGGGACUGAGAUACGGCCCAGACUCCUACGGGAGGCAGCAGUGGGGAAUAUUGCACAAUGGGCGCAAGCCUGAUGCAGCGACGCCGCAUGAGGGAUGGAGGCCUUCGGGUUGUGAACCUCUUUCGCUCAUGGUCAAGCCGCAACAAUGGUUGUGGUGAGGGUAGUGGGUAAAGAAGCGCCGGCUAACUACGUG